rnacentral:rRNA from 1 species
UGAAACUUAAGCAUAUCAAUAAGCGGAGGAAAAGAAACCAACAGGGAUUGCCUCAGUAACGGCGAGUGAAGCGGCAACAGCUCAAAUUUGAAAUCUGGCCCCAGGCCCGAGUUGUAAUUUGCAGAGGAUGCUUUUGGCGCGGUGCCUUCCGAGUUCCCUGGAACGGGACGCCAUAGAGGGUGAGAGCCCCGUCUGGUUGGACACCAAGCCUCUGUAAAGCUCCUUCGACGAGUCGAGUAGUUUGGGAAUGCUGCUCAAAAUGGGAGGUAUAUGUCUUCUAAAGCUAAAUACCGGCCAGAGACCGAUAGCGCACAAGUAGAGUGAUCGAAAGAUGAAAAGCACUUUGAAAAGAGAGUUAAAUAGCACGUGAAAUUGUUAAAAGGGAAGCGUUUAUGACCAGACUUGGGCCGGUUAAUCAUCCAGCGUUCUCGCUGGUGCACUUUGCCGGUCCAGGCCAGCAUCAGUUCGUCGCGGGGGAUAAAGGCGUCGGGAAUGUGGCUCCUCGGAGUGUUAUAGCCCUUCGCGCAAUACCCUGCGGUGGACUGAGGUUCGCGCUCUGCAAGGAUGCUGGCGUAAUGGUCAUCAACGACCCGUCUUGAAACACGGACCAAGGAGUCGUCUUCGUAUGCGAGUGUUCGGGUGUAAAACCCCUACGCGUAAUGAAAGUGAACGCAGGUGAGAGCUUCGGCGCAUCAUCGACCGAUCCUGAUGUUCUCGGAUGGAUUUGAGUAAGAGCAUACGGGGCCGGACCCGAAAGAAGGUGAACUAUGCCUGUAUAGGGUGAAGCCAGAGGAAACUCUGGUGGAGGCUCGCAGCGGUUCUGACGUGCAAAUCGAUCGUCAAAUAUGGGCAUGGGGGCGAAAGACUAAUCGAACCUUCUAGUAGCUGGUUUCCGCCGAAGUUU